UGGUAAAAUACAUUCGUAGUGACCCAACUCAAAAACAAAUACAUUCAGUGCGAUGAGCAAGGUCAUGCCACGUUUAAUAACUGCCACACCGGGUUUAUAUUCAGACCUUUUGUUCGUAAAUGUACACACGUGGACAACGUGGGAAAAUCCAUAAGCAAAAUGCUAGCGACCCUUUUGACUCCACCAAAAACUAAGCCUGCAAUCAGUAAAAGCACUCGAGACGCUAAUAAAAAAAAAAUCAGAAAAAGACGUCAAUCAUCAAUCCAGGUCAACUUUUAGAAGUCCGCCACAAUCUCAACCUUUUUUUGGAAGAUUCCCACCACCUCCUUUUAAAAGUCCCCCACCACCUCCGCCGCCUUUUGGAAGACCGCCAAAACUAUUGCCUUCCUUGUUUAGAGGCCCACCUCCUCCUCCAUCUUUCAGACCUCCACCUUCUUUGAGACCUCCACUCCACCGUCUUUCAGAUCUCCACCUCCACCUCUUUCAGAUUUCCACCAUUUUUCGGAUCUCCACCUCUAUCAUUUUUCGGACCUCCACUCCCACCUCCGCUGAUUUUUGGUAAUCGAAGACCGAUUCAACCACCUUCAUCUUCAAUUUCUAACUUAAAUAAAAUGAUCAUGCCAGUUCAUGAACCCAUCCAGGAGCUUAUUCAGGACUCCAAUCCCCCUGAAGAUGGUGCGUCAGAUAACGG